rnacentral:rRNA from 1 species
UACGUAGGGCGCAAGCGUUGUCCGGAAUUAUUGGGCGUAAAGAGCUCGUAGGCGGUCUGUUGCGUCUGCUGUGAAACCCGGGGCUUAACCCCUGGCUUGCAGUGGAUACGGACAGACUAGAGGUAGGUAGGGGAGAAUGGAAUUCCCGGUGUAGCGGUGAAAUGCGCAGAUAUCGGGAGGAACACCGGUGGCGAAGGCGGUCUCUGGGCCUUACCUGACGCUGAGGAGCGAAAGCGUGGGGAGCGAACAGA